AACGAACGCUGGCGGCAGGCUUAACACAUGCAAGUCGAGCGCCCCGCAAGGGGAGCGGCAGACGGGUGAGUAACGCGUGGGAAUCUACCCAUCUCUGCGGAAUAGCUCCGGGAAACUGGAAUUAAUACCGCAUACGUCCUUCGGGAGAAAGAUUUAUCGGAGAUGGAUGAGCCCGCGUUGGAUUAGCUAGUUGGUGGGGUAAUGGCCUACCAAGGCGACGAUCCAUAGCUGGUCUGAGAGGAUGAUCAGCCACACUGGGACUGAGACACGGCCCAGACUCCUACGGGAGGCAGCAGUGGGGAAUAUUGGACAAUGGGCGAAAGCUUGAUCCAGCCAUGCCGCGUGAGUGAUGAAGGCCCUAGGGUUGUAAAGCUCUUUCAGUGGGGAAGAUAAUGACGGUACCCACAGAAGAAGCCCCGGCUAACUUCGUGCCAGCCGCCGCGGUAAUAC
rnacentral:rRNA from 1 species